AGCGUAGGCGGAUUUUUAAGUGGGAUGUGAAAUACCCGGGCUUAACCUGGGUGCUGCAUUCCAAACUGGAAGUCUAGAGUACAGGAGGGGAAAGCGGAAUUCCUAGUGUAGCGGUGAAAUGCGUAGAGAUUAGGAAGAACACCAGUGGCGAAGGCGGCUUUCUGGACUGUAACUGACGCUGAGGCUCGAAAGCGUGGGGAGCGAACA
rnacentral:rRNA from 1 species